rnacentral:rRNA from 1 species
UGGGGAAUUUUGGACAAUGGGCGCAAGCCUGAUCCAGCCAUGCCGCGUGCAGGAUGAAGGCCUUCGGGUUGUAAACUGCUUUUGUACGGAACGAAAAGACUCCUUCUAAUAAAGGGGGUCCAUGGCGGUACCGUAAGAAUAAGCACCGGCUAACUACGUGCCAGCAGCCGCGGUAAUA